UGGCGAACGGGUGAGUAACAGGUGGAAAACCUGCCCUAUAAUGGGGGAUAACAGUUCUAACGAACUGCUAAUACCGCAUACGACCUUUGGAUCGCAUGGUUUGAAGGUGAAAGGUGGCCUCUCUUUGAAGCUGCCGUUAUAGGAUGGUUCCGCCUCCCAUUAGCUUGUUGGUGGGGUAAUGGCCUACCAAGGCGACGAUGGGUAGCCGGCCUGAGAGGGUGUCCGGCCACACUGGGACUGAGAUACGGCCCAGACUCCUACGGGAGGCAGCAGUCGAGAAGCUUCGGCAAUGGGCGAAAGCCUGACCGAGCGAUGCCGCGUGAGUGAAGAAGGCCCUAUGGGUUGUAAAGCUCUGUCAGAUUGGGAAGAAAACUCUGCGGUUAAUACCCGUAGAGCUCGACGGUACCAUCAGAGGAAGCACCGGCUAACUCCGUGCCAGCAGCCGCGGUAAUACGGAGGGUGCAAGCGUUGUUCGGAUUCACUGGGUAUAAAGGGUGCGCAGGCGGCCCGAUAAGUCAGGGGUGAAAUAUGACGGCUUAACCGUCAAACUGCCCCUGAAACUGUCAGGCUUGAGUUCGAGAGAGGUAGGUGGAAUUCCAGGUGUAGCGGUGAAAUGCGUAAAUAUCUGGAGGAACACCGGUGGCGAAGGCGGCCUACUGGCUCGAUACUGACGCUCAGGCACGAAAGCAUGGGGAGCGAACGGGAUUAGAUACCCCGGUAGUCCAUGCCGUAAACGAUGGGUACUAGGUGUUGGAGGAUUCUACCCCUUCAGUGCCGCAGCUAACGCAUUAAGUACCCCACCUGGGGAGUACGAUCGCAAGGUUGAAACUCAAAGGAAUUGACGGGGGCCCGCACAAGCGGUGGAGCAUGUGGUUUAAUUCGAUGCAACGCGAAGAACCUUACCUGGGCUUGACAUGCAGGGGACAGAUGUAGAAAUACAUCCUUCUUCGGACUCCUGCACAGGUGCUGCAUGGCUGUCGUCAGCUCGUGUCGUGAAAUGUUGGGUUAAGUCCCGCAACGAGCGCAACCCUUGUCUU
rnacentral:rRNA from 1 species